AACUAGGGUGAUGAAAACGUAUCCUUAGGCGUGGUUAUGGCCGUCUUGGCCACCUGUACACACACUUGCCAAUGCAAGGACUUGUCAUAGUUACACUGACUGUAA
rfam:M.musculus T40 small nucleolar RNA gene